UUGGUGGAUGCCUAAUUAGGU
rnacentral:siRNA from 1 species